rnacentral:tRNA from 1 species
AAAGGGAGACCUAAUUCAGGUAAAAGACGAAAAAAAAGUAGUCGCUACCAAGAAUCAAUCCCAAAAGGUCGGAGCGAGGCGAAAUUGGCUUUCAAACUAGGUUCUGGGUUCAAACAAGACCUGAAUCAGGAACAAGGGCUAUUAGCUCAGGUGGUUAGAGCGCACCCCUGAUAAGGGUGAGGUCCCUGGUUCGAGUCCAGGAUGGCCCGCCUGCACAGGUGGCAAAAACAAGAGAAGCGAGGAAUCAGCACCUUAUCUUACUUAUAUAGUAAGAGAGAAUGCUGGCUCUGAGUAAAGAGUCCAGAGGAACCUUGAAAACUGCAUAGAGCUAGGUGAAAAAGCCAAAAAAGAAGACCGCAAG